rnacentral:rRNA from 1 species
AUUCGAGGGUAUUGCCCUAGUAACGGCGAGUGAACAGGCAAAAGCUCAGAUUUGAAAGCCUUUUUUGGCAUUGUAUUCUGAAGUCAGUUUCCUGAGUAUCGAUGUUUAAGUCUUCUGGAAAGGAGCGCCAUGGAGGGUGAUAGCCCCGUACAACAUCACACUCAUUGUAGGAGUCUGACGUGGAGUCGAGUUGUUUGGGAAUGCAGCUCAAAAGGGUGGUAUGCUCCAUCUAAAGCUAAAUAUCUGUGAGAGACCGAUAGCGAACAAGUACCGUGAGGGAAAGAUGAAAAGAACUUUGAAAAGAGAGUGAAAUAGUACGUGAAAUUGUUGAAAUGGAAGGGUAGGCCGCUAACCAUGUAGAACCGUGUCUGGGGGGAGGACAAAAGCUGAAGAAUGUAGCUCCUCGGAGUGUUAUAGCUUCAGUCAAUACUCCCAGGCCGGGCGCGAGCACCACCAGUGCUUAUGACAGAGAAUAGAUGCG